rfam:Clostridium sp. 7_2_43FAA genomic scaffold supercont2.3, whole genome shotgun sequence.
UUAAAGAGAAUACUGAUUCCAAAGACAGUAGGUGCCGAAAGGUUUAAAUAAUUGCCUACCGAGGAAUACCAAGGUAAGUAAUUAUUUGGUCUUCCUAUGUCUAUGGGAAGGCCUUUCUUAAUAUAAAU